rnacentral:rRNA from 1 species
UACGAAGGGUGCAAACGUUGCUCGGAAUCAUUGGGCGUAAAGCGCACGUAGGCGGCUUCGCAAGUCGGAUGUGAAGUCCCUCGGCUCAACCGAGGACGUGCAUCCGAAACUGCGGAGCUUGAGUACUGAAGAGGAUCGCGGAAUUCCCGGUGUAGAGGUGAAAUUCGUAGAUAUCGGGAGGAACACCAGUGGCGAAGGCGGCGAUCUGGGCAGAUACUGACGCUGAGGUGCGAAAGCGUGGGGAGCAAACAGG